UACGUAGGGUCCAAGCGUUAUCCGGAAUUACUGGGCGUAAAGCGUGCGUAGGCGGCGCGUUAAGUGAGAUGCGAAAUCCUGUGGCUCAACCAUAUGGACUGUGUCUCAUACUGACGUGCUUGAGGAUGGCAGAGGCAAGUGGAAUUACCGGUGUAGCAGUGAAAUGCGUAGAUAUCGGUAGGAACACCAAUGGCGAAGGCAGCUUGCUGGGCCACACCUGACGCUGAGGCGCGAAAGCUAGGGGAGCAAACGGG
rnacentral:rRNA from 1 species